GGCUGGGUCCGAGAAGGCACCGUUGAGCACUGGAUUAACACCAGCAAUGCCCACCCUUUGAUUUCCUCUUAGCUUUGAGGGAUGUAUCAGCCAGAGACAUCGAACUUCAAAGCAUGAAGAGACGGGAGCAUGCAACCAGGCUGAACUCCUGCCCUCGGGAGCCGGGCCAUGGGGGUGAGGUUUAGAUUUCACCACUGCUGGCAGCAGGCUCAGGGGCCCCACCACCGGGCUUUCCGGGCACCUCCCAGACAAGAGGCUGUUUCAUCAUCAAACAUUCUCGGCUCUGCUCUGUGAUCACAUCACCCUUUCAUCCCUCGUCUCUACAGCCCAAACCCCUCCUGCCCCACUCUUGAGGGGCCUGUGACCUCGUGAUCAGCAAGGUGUCCCUACGCAAUCGCCACUUUCCCCCUUGCAAUAAUUCU